rnacentral:rRNA from 1 species
AUUGAACGCUGGCGGCAGGCCUAACACAUGCAAGUCGAGCGGAUGAAGGGGGCUUUCUCCUGGUUUCAGCUGCGGACGGGCGAGUAAUUCCUAGGAAUCUGCCUUGUCUAUGGGGCUAACGUCCCUUCACGGGCGCUAAUACCGCAUCCGACCUGAUUUCGAAAGUGGUGGAUCUUUGGACCUCACUCUAUCAGAUGAGCCUAGGUCGGAUUCGCUAGUUGGUUGGGUAAAGUCCUACCAAGGCGACUAUCCGUAACUGGUCUGAGGGGAUGACCAGGCACACUGGAACUUAGACACGGUCCCGACUCCUACGGGAGGGAACAGUGAGGAAUAUUGGAGAAUGGGCGGAAACCUGAUCCAGGCAAGGCGGGUGUAGUAAGAAAGUUUUCCGAUUGUAAAGCAUCUUUAGUUGGGAGGAAGGACAGUAAGUUAAUACCUUGCUGUUUUGACGUUAACAACAGAAGAAACCCCGGCUAACUUAGUG